rnacentral:rRNA from 1 species
AGAGUUUGAUUAUGGCUCAGGAUGAACGCUGGCGGCGUGCCUAACACAUGCAAGUCGAACGAAGCGCGCGGACGGAAUUUCUUCGGGAAGGAAGGCCGCGCGACUGAGUGGCGGACGGGUGAGUAACGCGUGGGCAACCUGCCCUGCACAGGGGGACAACAGCCGGAAACGGCUGCUAAUACCGCAUAAGCGCACAGCUUCGCAUGAAGCGGUGUGAAAAGCUGCGGCGGUGCAGGAUGGGCCCGCGUCUGAUUAGCUGGUUGGCGGGGCAACGGCCCACCAAGGCGACGAUCAGUAGCCGGCCUGAGAGGGUGGACGGCCACAUUGGGACUGAGACACGGCCCAGACUCCUACGGGAGGCAGCAGUGGGGAAUAUUGCACAAUGGGGGAAACCCUGAUGCAGCGACGCCGCGUGAGCGAAGAAGUAUUUCGGUAUGUAAAGCUCUAU